GAUGAACGCUGGCGGCGUGCCUAAUACAUGCAAGUCGAGCGAACGGACGAGAAGCUUGCUUCUCUGAUGUUAGCGGCGGACGGGUGAGUAACACGUGGAUAACCUACCUAUAAGACUGGGAUAACUUCGGGAAACCGGAGCUAAUACCGGAUAAUAUUUUGAACCGCAUGGUUCAAAAGUGAAAGACGGUCUUGCUGUCACUUAUAGAUGGAUCCGCGCUGCAUUAGCUAGUUGGUAAGGUAACGGCUUACCAAGGCAACGAUGCAUAGCCGACCUGAGAGGGUGAUCGGCCACACUGGAACUGAGACACGGUCCAGACUCCUACGGGAGGCAGCAGUAGGGAAUCUUCCGCAAUGGGCGGAAGCCUGACGGAGCAACGCCGCGUGAGUGAUGAAGGUCUUCGGAUCGUAAAGCUCUGUUAUUAGGGAAGAACAUAUGUGUAAGUAACUGUGCACAUCUUGACGGUACCUAAUCAGAAAGCCACGGCUAACUACGUG
rnacentral:rRNA from 1 species